rnacentral:rRNA from 1 species
GUGGGGGAUAUUGGACAAUGGGGGAAACCCUGAUCCAGCGAUGCCGCGUGAGGGAAGAAGGUUUUCGGAUUGUAAACCUCUGUGGACAGGGACGAUAAUGACGGUACCUGUUUAGAAAGCCACGGCUAACUACGUGCCAGCAGCCGCGGUAAUACGUAGGUGGCGAGCGUUGUCCGGAAUUACUGGGUGUAAAGGGAGUGUAGGCGGGAAGGCAAGUCAGAAGUGAAAAUUAUGGGCUUAACCCAUAACCUGCUUUUGAAACUGUUUUUCUUGAGUGAGGCAGAGGCAAGCGGAAUUCCUAGUGUAGCGGUGAAAUGCGUAGAUAUUAGGAGGAACACCAGUGGCGAAGGCGGCUUGCUGGGCCUUUACUGACGCUGAGGCUCGAAAGCGUGGGGAGCAAACAGGAUUAGAAACCCGAGUAGUCC